UCUUCAGUUUGUGCCCAGUCCUCAUGCCUCAUACAAAGCCAAACAACACUUCAAGAGGUCUGCAUCGCUAUCUUCCUCGUGGUUUUGGUUGAUAAGAGCUAAUGAUGGCCGGGAACACUUCUCCUGUAGCUGUGUAAAUGGAAGACCAGCAUUAAAUAAUGAGAUACUUCAAAAUAAAUGUGCAAUUUUCAUUC